GAUGAACGCUGGCGGCAGGCCUAACACAUGCAAGUCGAGCGAACAGACGAGGCUUUCGCCUGGCUUCCGCGACGGGCGGAUGGGUGAUUACUAGGAGUCUAACUUGUCUAUAAGAAUGGCGUCCCUUAGGGGAAGCGGAUACAACAUCCGACAAGAUGGUGAAAGGCAGGGAUCAUCAGACCAAACGCUUUCUGCUGAGCCUAAGCCGGAUUAGCUAGUUGGUUGGGUAAGGGCUUACCAAGGCGACGAUCCGUAGCUGGUCUGAGAGGAUGAUCAGUCACACUGGAACUGAGACACGGUCCAGACUCCUACGGGAGGCAGCAGUAGGGAAUAUUGGACAAUGGGCGAAAGCCUGACGCAGCAACGCCGCGUGUGUGAAGAAGGUCUUCGGAUCGUAAAGCUCUUUAAGUUGGGAGGAAGGGAAGUAAGAGAAAACAUUGAUGUUUUGACGUUACCAACAGAAUAAGCACCGGCUAACUACGUG
rnacentral:rRNA from 1 species